rnacentral:rRNA from 1 species
UCGAGCGAACGGACGAGAAGCUUGCUUCUCUGAUGUUAGCGGCGGACGGGUGAGUAACACGUGGAUAACCUACCUAUAAGACUGGGACAACUUCGGGAAACCGGAGCUAAUACCGGAUAAUAUUUUGAACCGCAUGGUUCAAAAGUGAAAGACGGUCUUGCUGCCACUUAUAGAUGGAUCCGCGCUGCAUUAGCUAGUUGGUAAGGUAACGGCUUACCAAGGCAACGAUGCAUAGCCGACCUGAGAGGGUGAUCGGCCACACUGGAACUGAGACACGGUCCAGACUCCUACGGGAGGCAGCAGUAGGGAAUCUUCCGCAAUGGGCGAAAGCCUGACGGAGCAACGCCGCGUGAGUGAUGAAGGUCUUCGGAUCGUAAAACUCUGUUAUUAGGGAAGAACAUAUGUGUAAGUAACUGUGCACAUCUUGACGGUACCUAAUCAGAAAGCCACGGCUAACUACGUGCCAGCAGCCGCGGUAAUACGUAGGUGGCAAGCGUUAUCCGGAAUUAUUGGGCGUAAAGCGCGCGUAGGCGGUUUUUUAAGUCUGAUGUGAAAGCCCACGGCUCAACCGUGGAGGGUCAUUGGAAACUGGAAAACUUGAGUGCAGAAGAGGAAAGUGGAAUUCCAUGUGUAGCGGUGAAAUGCGCAGAGAUAUGGAGGAACACCAGUGGCGAAGGCGACUUUCUGGUCUGU